UUUAAUAGCCGCAGUAAUUUGACUGUGCAAAGGUAGCAUAAUCAAUAGUUUUUUAAUUAGAAGCUUGUAUGAAGGGCUGGACGAGAUAAAAUCUGUCUUUAUUUAAUUAUAGUAGAAUUUAAUUUUUAAGUUAAAAAGCUUAAAUAUUAAUAAUAGACGAGAAGACCCUAUAGAGUUUUAUAUUUUUAUUAAUAAUAUUUAAUUUGGAUUUAUUUAUUUUAUUUUUAAUAAAAUAUUUUAUUGGGGUAAUAUAAAGAUUAAAUUAAUUCUUUUUAUUUAUAAAUAUUAAUUUAUAUAUAAUUGAUCCAUAAAUUUUGAUUAAAAGAAUAAGUUACCUUAGGGAUAACAGCGUAAUUUUUUUUGAGAGUUCAUAUCGAUAAAAAAGUUUGCGACCUCGAUGUUGGAUUAAAGGUUAUUUUAAAUGCAAAAGUUUAAAUUUUUGGUCUGUUCGACCAUUAAAUCUUUACAUGAUCUGAGUUCAGACCGGUUUAAGCCAGGUCGGUUUCUAUCUUUAUUUAAUUAUAAUAUUUUAGUACGAAAGGACCAAAUAUUAAUUAUAAUAAUUUAAUUUUGAACUUUAUU
rnacentral:rRNA from 1 species